rnacentral:misc_RNA from 1 species
GAUGAAGAACGUAGCGAAAUGCGAUAAGUGAUGUGAAUUGCAGAAUUCAGUGAAUCAUCGAAUCUUUGAACGCACAUUGCGCCCGCCAGUAUUCUGGCGGGCAUGCCUGUUCGAGCGUCAUUACAACCCUCAGGCCCCCGGGCCUGGCGUUGGGGAUCGGCGGAAGCCCCCUGCGGGCACAACGCCGUCCCCCAAAUACAGUGGCGGUCCCGCCGCAGCUUCCAUUGCGUAGUAGCUAACACCUCGCAACUGGAGAGCGGCGCGGCCACGCCGUAAAACACCCAACUUCUGAAUGUUGACCUCGAAUCAGGUAGGAAUACCCGCUGAACUUAAGCAUAUCAAUAAGCGGAGGA